CACGUAGGGCGCAAGCGUUGUCCGGAAUUAUUGGGCGUAAAGAGCUCGUAGGCGGUCUGUUACGUCCGCUGUGAAAACCCGGGGCUUAACCCCUGGCUUGCAGUGGAUACGGACAGACUAGAGGUAGGUAGGGGAGAAUGGAAUUCCCGGUGUAGCGGUGAAAUGCGCAGAUAUCGGGAGGAACACCGGUGGCGAAGGCGGUUCUCUGGGCCUUACCUGACGCUGAGGAGCGAAAGCGUGGGGAGCGAACAGG
rnacentral:rRNA from 1 species